rnacentral:rRNA from 1 species
GAUGAACGCUAGCUAUAGGCUUAACACAUGCAAGUCGCGGGGCAGCAUGGGGGUUGCUUGCAACCCCUGAUGGCGACCGGCGCACGGGUGAGUAAUGCGUAUCCAACCUGCCCUUCACCACGGGAUAACCCGGCGAAAGUCGGACUAAUACGGUUAGUUGUCAAUUGUCAGCAUACGAUUUGGUCGGAAGGCGCGGCGGUGAAGGGACGGGGGUGCGUUUGAUUAGUUGGACGGCUGGGGACCGGCCCACCGUGGCUACGGUCGGUAGGGGUACUGAGAGGAAGGUCCCCCACACUGGAACUAAGACACGGUCCAGACUCCUACGGGAGGCAGCAGUGAGGAAUAUUGGUCAAGGGGCGUAAGCCUGAACCAGCCAAGUAGCGUGCAGGAUGACGGCCCUAUGGGUUGUAAACUGCUUUUAUGCGGAGAUAAAGUGGCCCACGUGUGGGCUUUUGCAGGUACCGCAUGAAUAAGGACCGGCUAAUUCCGUG